GAUGAAGAACGCAGCGAAAUGCGAUACUUGGUGUGAAUUGCAGAAUCCCGUGAACCAUCGAGUCUUUGAACGCAAGUUGCGCCUCAAGCCAUUAGGUUGAGGGCACGUCUGCCUGGGCGUCACAUAUCGUUGCCUGAUGCCAGUUUCCUCGUGAUGGGUGACUGUGCAGGGCGAAUGAUGGCUUCCCGUGAGCAUUGUUGCCUCAUGGUUGGUUGAAAAUUGAGUCCUUGGCAGGGAGCGCCGUGAUAGAUGGUGGUUGAGUGACGAACGAGACCCAAUCAUGUGAGACCCCUACCGAAUUUGGCCUUCAUGACCCACAUGCGUCUUUGGAACGCUCAUGACGAGACCUCAGGUCAGGCGGGGCUACCCGCUGAGUUUAAGCAUAUCAAUAAGCGGAGGA
rnacentral:misc_RNA from 1 species